ACGCUUGAAAUAUUGCCUCAUACCU
rnacentral:miRNA from 10 species